CGACCCCCUGUCGCCCUAGCCGUGGAGAUACCGAGCACUGGCCGAUCGCCUCUGCCCUAGCCACCUCGCGCCGCCACCACUGCCGACGCCGACCCUCUCCUUGCUGCCACUCUAGGUCACGGAUUGUCAAGGAUGCAAUUGUGAUCGUGAGGUGCAUUAGAACUUGCUGUGGGGUUGUGCUGUGGUUGGACAGCCACUCCUUUCGGUAUCUACUGGCUUCUGCAACGGGUGUCAACCUAGCAAUUUAUCUGUGCUGGCUGUAAACAAUCCUAAUUGGGCAACAACUUUAUGACUUCCAGCAGCGGUUGAUUUGAGG